GGCCCCUUGGCGAAAUGGUAUCGCGUUGGUUUUCGGCCCUUGCCUAGCAUGAGGAGAUACACCAAAGAUUGUGGGUUCGAUCCCCAUGGGGGUCG